UGGGCCCAUUUUUGCACAAAGUUUGUCGGAAGAACGGAGGACGGGAAGCAAAUCUGUACUGCGCAUGUCGUGAAGCUUUUAGAGGCGGCUCGUCUUCAGAGAUGGUAGCCUUACAGUACCGAUCUCCAGGGAUUGUAGACGUCACACACUCCCUGGAGCUCAGGGCCAGCUGUCAAUACGCAGAUGCCGGCCCCAAAGGAACCCACGCUGGCCCCAGAGGUGGAUGCAGGGAGCCAACCAGCGCACAGCUUCUGUGUAAUGAGACGGGGCCUUUCUCUGACAGUCCACCCCUGAAGUUUGCAUCUCUCUGGUAAACUGAUUGCUUGCGUUGAGUUUCGAGCGCUUCGCUGACAUUGACCCUGCCACAACGCUCCAGAUGCCAUGCUGAGACGUGACUGGAAAGGCAGAGCAGGAGCGUGGAGGCUCUUUUUCAUUUCAUUGGUUCAUCAACGGGCCAAUGAAAUCAGCAUACAACACAGAACCCCACAAAUGCAUGACUAAUUUGUUGUGCCUUCACAGCUAUUUCGUGUCAUUCGUAGGUUUCUAGUAGUUGCUGUGAUGUGACUAAAAAAUGUUUAUUUACAUGUUAACAGUGUUAUCCU